GGGAGGCCCGGGAGGCACGGCGUGGGGCUGAGGUUCCAGCGGGCCGGUGCCAGGCAAGUCCCCCAGGUCGAUGGUGGCUGCCACCAGAGCGUCCAGGCCCAGCAGCACCCUGGGCAGGUGGCUGUCGCCAGCAGUCAACCCCCAGUCCCUCUCCCCCUCCCCCUCCAGCUCC